AGUGGCGAACGGGUGAGUAACGCGUGGGAACAUACCUUACGAUGGGGAAUAACAGUUGGAAACGACUGCUAAUACCGCAUACGCCCUUCGGGGGAAAGGCUUCGGCCGUCGUUAGAGUGUCCCGCGUUCGAUUAGCUAGUUGGUGAGGUAAUGGCUCACCAAGGCUACGAUCGAUAGCUGGUCUGAGAGGAUGAUCAGCCACACUGGAACUGAGACACGGUCCAGACUCC
rnacentral:rRNA from 1 species